rnacentral:rRNA from 1 species
UAAGCAUAUCAAUAAGCGGAGGAAAAGAAACCAACAGGGAUUGCCCUAGUAACGGCGAGUGAAGCGGCAACAGCUCAAAUUUGAAAUCUGGCUCUCGGGCCCGAGUUGUAAUUUGUAGAGGAUACUUUUGAUGCGGUGCCUUCCGAGUUCCCUGGAACGGGACGCCAUAGAGGGUGAGAGCCCCGUCUGGUUGGAUGCCAAAUCUCUGUAAAGUUCCUUCGACGAGUCGAGUAGUUUGGGAAUGCUGCUCUAAAUGGGAGGUAUAUGUCUUCUAAAGCUAAAUACCGGCCAGAGACCGAUAGCGCACAAGUAGAGUGAUCGAAAGAUGAAAAGCACUUUGAAAAGAGAGUUAAAAAGUACGUGAAAUUGUUGAAAGGGAAGCGUUUAUGACCAGACUUGGGCUUGGUUAAUCAUCUGGGGUUCUCCCCAGUGCACUUUUCCAGUCCAGGCCAGCAUCAGUUUUCCCCGGGGGAUAAAGACUUCGGGAAUGUGGCUCUCUUCGGGGAGUGUUAUAGCCCGUUGUGUAAUACCCUGGGGGGGACUGAGGUUCGCGCAUCUGCAAGGAUGCUGGCGUAAUGGUCAUCAACGACCCGUCUUGAAACACGGACCAAGGAGUCGUCUUCGUAUGCGAGUGUUCGGGUGUCAAACCCCUACGCGUAAUGAAAGUGAACGCAGGUGAGAGCUUCGGCGCAUCAUCGACCGAUCCUGAUGUUCUCGGAUGGAUUUGAGUAAGAGCAUACGGGGCCGGACCCGAAAGAAGGUGAACUAUGCCUGUAUAGGGUGAAGCCAGAGGAAACUCUGGUGGAGGCUCGCAGCGGUUCUGACGUGCAAAUCGAUCGUCAAAUAUGGGCAUGGGGGCGAAAGACUAAUCGAACCUUCUAGUAGCUGGUUUCCGCCGA